rnacentral:misc_RNA from 1 species
AACAGAAAAAUGUAAGUGUAUCAAAACUAGAGUUCACAUAUAAAUAAAGAAACAAGUUUAUAUCCAUAAGCAUUGUUGCAAGAAGAAGUAAGUAUGUAGCAACCCAAUGCAAACAAGCAGCAAAUUAUCCCACCAUUCACAUAAGUGAAAAAAUAAAUCUUACUCACAGAAUUGGAGGACAGAUAAUGCAGCAAUGAAACAAACACAUCACCUUAUUCUUAGAUUUGGCUACUUAAGGUCUUUCUUCUGUAGGAA